GUCCAUGGCCAUGCUACCCUGAACAAGCCCAGUCCCAUGUGAUCUUGGAAGCUAAGUAGAGUUAGACCUGAUUAGUACUUGACGGGAGACCACCUAGGAAGACCAAGUGCUGUAGGCA
rnacentral:rRNA from 1 species